AUCUUAAAAGCCUAAAUUGUGUUUCCUUGUUAGAAGAUACAAAGCCAAAGCGUCAUACGAACUUUUGCUACACCAUCAAAGCUUUGAGAAGCAAGAAGAAGCUUGGUUAGUUUUUUGAAGUCAAAUAUUACUAGAUGUCAUCUGUAUGAGUGAGUAUGACAACUAUA
rnacentral:sRNA from 1 species